AAAUAGAAAUAAAAAAAGACUCACACUUGUAAACAUUCUCUCGACUUCACCUCACAAACACUCUGAGCGACGAAAACAAGAGAGAGAUAGAUGGCGAGAUAAAGAGAAAUGGCGAUAAGAAGAAGAUGAGAGAGAGUGAAGAAAGCACCCCGUAGAGGGGGUGCUCCCACAGGUGCUCAUUUUGAUCCAUAUGGCCCCAGGCAUGUUCCUGGUUAUGAGUCCAGAUCUGGAAGGCAAUAUGUUAUCGCAUUUUGUUUUCGAAUAUAAUGUUUGCCAUGUUUGUAUUUUAAUAAGACUUAAGGUUUUUUGAAAUUUCUGAUCAUCUAAAUAAUUUUAACUGUUAGAUACAAAAGAGAUUUGCAUAAAUUAUGGAACAGAUACAGGUAAGACAAUUGUGACUUUGAUGGAACAUAAUCGAAUUAUGGAACAGAUACAGGUUAGACAAUUCUGACUUUGAUGGGUGAUCCAAAUGGAGAACAGAAACAGGUGAUAUUCGUAUGAAUUAUACUGAAUAUUAUUGCUUUAGGCUGUUGCUUCUAGUUCCUUUGCUUUGAUGUCAGUAUAUUUUUUAAUCACUCGUAUUUUUUCGUUGUAAUGAUGGGAAUGGGUUAGCAUUGUACAACUUGCAAUAAACCAAGGACUUUAAGUGAUGUACAAUAUCAACAUAUAUUCUGCUUUUAACAUUCUUCUGCUUUUGAGGAAGCUCUUGCCCUUGUAACUACAGACAAACUAUUUGAAAGACUGGUUUAAUUAUCAUCCACUUGUCGCAUACCAUGUCUUAUAUGGCGGAGCAUGUGGUUGGUACUGGUUUAUUUGGUGUUGUAUAUCAGGUGCGCAAAAUGAGGGACUUUUUCCCAGGUUUCUAAUAAAUGGAUAAGUUGAGUUUCAGGGUUUUUUUAGUAAUGUCCGCUUGGUAGGUUGAUCUCAUAUAUUAAGUGAUUUUUGACAUGUCCUAAUGUAUGAUAUAUAUGAUUUUAUUAUUCUUUUACUUGAAUACUGUGUUUCUUGUAGCUAAUAAUAUAAUUUCAAUGACUUGAUCAGGCUGCAUAAGUACAAGUUUUAGAACUUAAGAUGUCAUGGUACCUGAUAAUAAAUGAGGAUGUGAACAUCCAGCCACUGAACCAGAACUUGAACCCUCUACACGAGGCCACUCUCAACUCCUUCGCUCUUGAAUCCCAAGUAUUUGAGGUCAGCACAGUAACAUCUGAUUCUCUUUCACUUGAUGUCCAGGUGGAGAAGUUUGAUCAGUUUAAGAGAAGAACAACAUGCUUUUACAAUCAAGGUACAGCACGAACAAAAAAAAGGAAGAUGGAAGUUUUUACAUCCCUAAUGACCAUACUAAAGAAGUGUGUCAGAAAAUUGGAGAGUUACAAGGGCAAAUAUCUCAUGGUAUAUGGUUAAGCAGGAGAGAAUUUGCAGAAAAAGAUUGUUUAAAAAUCUUACCUUGUCAAUUUUGAAAGAUGGGAAAUUGGAAGACCAACAUGAUUAAGAAAUGGUAAGCUUGGUUUUUAGUUUGGGUUUUAGAUAUAUCUUUGGAUUUUUCGUAUCAACUGAAUUAAUAGAGAGUACAAUUUUAAAGAUCUGUAGGGGGGUCUGGCUCUUGAUGGUAACACUGUGUAUAAUUAGAUGACCUCUAUUCUUUAGCAUUUUAAGCAUUUAACUUGUAAUGUUGUAGUUUCAUUUUGAUCAAAGCAAAGCCAGGUUGAACAUUAGGCUACAUGAAGGCCAUAUAAAGCCUAUUAAUAUUCUGUCCAAGCAUCUUGAUCUUUCAGACCAAUGCUAAAUAAAUGCAGAUUGAGAAAAGAUUUGAGGAGGUGAAGAAAGAAAAAUCCAGUCCACAAGCAAAAUUUUAAGAGGAAACACAAAAGUCUAUAUUCAAAAGAAUUCAGCAGGCUCUGAUGGAUGGAAAACGAGCUCGAUCAGUUUGAAAAGGAUGUUAUAAAGCACAUGUGUUUACUUGCUAUAUCCCUAUGAUGUGUGCUUGAUUAGUAAUACCUUUUAGCAAAUUGGAUGUUGAAAAAUUGGUGUAUUGAUAUUUUGUCUGUUUUCUUGAUUGUUCUAGACGUGUAGUUGGUAAUAAUCGUAGUAUUGUUUUAGGAUGUUCUUGUAAUGAACCUUUGAAGGUGGAUUAAUGUAUUUUCGAAAUGGUCAUGUCAAAUUUUUAACAA